rnacentral:rRNA from 1 species
UGCAAGUCGAACGGUAACAGGUCUUCGGAUGCUGACGAGUGGCGAACGGGUGAGUAACACAUCGGAACAUGCCUAGUUGUGGGGGACAACUACUCGAAAGAGUAGCUAAUACCGCAUAAGAUCUACGGAUGAAAGCAGGGGACCUUCGGGCCUUGCGCAAUUAGAGUGGCCGAUGGCAGAUUAGGUAGUUGGUGAGGUAAAGGCUCACCAAGCCUGCGAUCUGUAGCUGGUCUGAGAGGACGACCAGCCACACUGGGACUGAGACACGGCCCAGACUCCUACGGGAGGCAGCAGUGGGGAAUUUUGGACAAUGGGCGAAAGCCUGAUCCAGCAAUGCCGCGUGCAGGACGAAGGCCUUCGGGUUGUAAACUGCUUUUGUACAGAACGAAAAGCUUUGGGUUAAUACCCUGGAGCCAUGACGGUACUGUAAGAAUAAGCACCGGCUAACUACGUGCCAGCAGCCGCGGUAAUACGUAGGGUGCAAGCGUUAAUCGGAAUUACUGGGCGUAAAGCGUGCGCAGGCGGCUAUGCAAGACUGAUGUGAAAUCCCCGGGCUCAACCUGGGAACUGCAUUAGUGACUGCAUAGCUGGAGUGCGGCAGAGGGGGAUGGAAUUCCGCGUGUAGCAGUGAAAUGCGUAGAUAUGCGGAGGAACACCGAUGGCGAAGGCAAUCCCCUGGGCCUGCACUGACGCUCAUGCAC